rnacentral:lncRNA from 1 species
GUAUAUCCUCCACCACCUCCAGCAUCUGGUUCAUAUUAUCCACCAAAGCAGGAGGUGUAUCCUCCUCCUCCUCCACCACAGUUUUAUCCACCACCACUAGUGCAAGGGUACUAUGAAGCCGGUCCUUAUGUUGCACCACCUCCAGUUAGUUACCCUAUGAGAUAUGGUCCUCAACACCACCAACAGCCACCUCCUCCUCCAGAAAAAACUAAGCAGAGGGGUGAUGAAUUUUGCACAGGAUGGUAACUGAGCAUUUUUUUUUUCCUUUUUAUUUAAAUAAUGAUUCACUGUGUACCUAUUUAUUUAUUUAUCUUUUUCCUAUGGGACACAGUUGCGCUGCCUUAUGUUGCUGCUGCCUCUUGGACAUGUGCUUUUAAGGACUCUGAAUGAUUCUUUGUAAAAUUUGCAGCUUAUAAUUGCUUCCCUUGUGUUUCUGUUUGCAAAUCAUAAUUAUUUUUGCUCUUUUUAUGUCACUGUACGUACUAUGUAUUCUUUAUUCACUCAAUAGCCUUCCUCUUCGAUUAAUAGGCAGGUAAUCUUCGGGUAUGGAGAAUUAAUUGUUUUUUAAAAUAUUUUUUAUUUAUAAAUAUAUUAAAAUAAUAUAUUUUUAAUUUUUUUUUAAUAUCAAUACAUCAAACAAAAUCUGAAAAUAUAUAAAAAAAAUUAAAUGUUUUUUUAUUUAUUUUAACCAACCCUUAACCCGUAAUUCUAAUCAGUGGCGAAAUCUUAAAAAGGAUCUCAGUACAUUAAUCAAAUUGCUGAUAGAUGGGCUAUAUAUAUAGACUAGUUUGUGUUUCAAAAGUUGAGGAGCUUGGUAACGGGACAGGCUCCACGGCGUAACCUACGCGAGUGGGAAGGGAGACUGUAGACUUCAGAAUAGAAAAGAAAAGGCUAAAGAAUUGAUGCAAUGAAACAUAACUAAUCAUUGUAUAUACUCUUAUAGGUUGUUUUACAUUACAUUUGUACUUGUGUUUUUUAAUGUAUUUUAAAGGUGAGUUUGGUAUAAAAAAAGACAUCGAAUUAAUUUUUAAAAUUUUUUAUGAUAGUUUUAAUGUAAUGAUGUUACUAAUAAGAAAAUUUUUUUAAAAAAAUUAAUAUAUUUUUUAAAAAAUACAUAUCAAACACAUUUGAUCUUCCGACAAAAGAUGAACUCAAAUGAUUUGUUAAUUCAAGUGCUGAUUAAUAGAAAGCAAGGUGAUUCAAGUGAUGAUUAAUAGAUGAACUCAUCUAAUAUAAAAAUAAUUCUAAGUGAUGUUUUUUAAAAUUUUAACCGCUCUCUAUUUAGCAUGCAAUCCUAAUCAGUGGCGAAAUCUUAAAAAGGAUCUCAGUACAUUAAUCAAAUUGCUGAUAGAAGGGCUAUAGACUAGUUUGUGUUUUGAACGUUGAGCAGCUUGGUAAUGGGACAGACAGGCUCCAUGGCGUAACCUGCACGAGUGGGAAUGGAGACUGUAGACUUUAGAAAAACAUAUAUUUAAAUAACAUAUAUUUUUAAUAUUUUUUUAUGGUUUUAAUAUGCUAAUAUCAAUAAUUAAAAAAUUAAAAAAUAUAUUUUAAUAUAUUAAAAAAAAAUAUUUUGAAAAACAUAUUUUACUAUAAUACCAAACACACAUUUAAUCAUUUUUCCCUUUUUAUUUAAAUAAUGAUUAACUGUAAAAUUUGCAGCUUAUAAUUGUUUCCCUUGUGUUUCUUGUUGGAAAUAAUAAUUAUUUUCGUUCUUUUUAUAUCACUGUACGUACUACGUUUAACAUUUGUCUAAUUCCUUCAGCCUUUAUUAUAGGAAAGAUGUUAACCAUGUUAGAAAAUCUUGCUUCCACUGAGUCUAUCUUAGAAACAGAAUUUGGAAGAAAAAUUGAUUAAAAAUUCAGUUUCUACAGAUUCAAAGUUCAUCGAGUUACCUACCGAAAUCAAUCUAGCGCCUGUCCAUAUCCGCUUAAGUGAUGGUAAGGGAAGCAUUAAGCGGCCGACACCAUAGAUAGCCACUGCAAAGAAAUGGAGAACCAAGUUCAUUGGCCGAUGGUCUAGACCAGAGAGUAGAGCUAUGGGUCCAUUCGAAAAAACUCCACCAAGGCUUAAAUAGUCAAAGCAAGGGUCAAAAUACGUGAAGAAAUAAGAUAGACUAAAAAUUGGAUUAAUAAAGAUAAAAACCGAGCCUUUUGGUUGUACUUUAAAUUGACUUAAUCUUAAUUAUUGUUCUCUGCAAAUAGGAAAUCAUAUGUACAGAAGCAGAUAAUGGAAUCAAUAACCUUCGGUCUGCGUGUAUUUUCCUAUAAUAUCAAAAGUGAAAAAAAUUAUUCUUUGAAUUCGUCAAGAAUAUAUGAAGUAUGUUUAUAGAAAAGGAUGCCGAUAAUGUUGAAAUAGGAGAAGAUUUCCUUUUGAUAUAUUUAGAUUCAAGUAAAAAUAUUCCUAGUUUAAAAAGAUUUGUAUUUAGGAUUUUUAUUAAAUUAAUAUUUAAAAUCCUUAUUUGAAAAAAGAUAGUUUAAAUUUAUCUUGAUUCUAUAAACUUCUUUUAAAUAUAAGGGUGAUAUGUGUUAAUUAUCAGUGAAUAAAGGCUUAGUAUUAAUUAAAGUUUCUUGGAAUAAAUCAAGUCUUGUUUUCAAAACAUGACAGCUACCAAUCUCACGGUAAGAUUUUAGGAGCGUAUCCACCGCCACCGAGCCAGCUGGGGCGCGAUGUCCUCCUCCUUCGCAAGCUUAUGCACUACCCGUCCAAGCUGGUCCGUAUGUUGCUCCACAUCCAGUUGAUUACCCUCCGACAAAUGGUGCUGAACACACCAAAAUAUCACCCCCUCCUGAAAAAGAAGAAGCAUAAAUGGUAACUGAGCAUUUCAAAACUCUCUCUGUGUAAAUUCCAUUGCAAAUAAUAAUUCAUCGUUAUAUAUAUAUAUAUAUAGAAAAAGAAUCAGCUUGCAUGCCUGGAGGUUGAUGGACAGAUCCUAUCUAAACCAAUCGAUGUGAAGCUAGCUAUCUUUAACUUUUUUCGCAACCUAUACUCCCACCAGAACAGACCUAGAGCUUCAUGUUCAAACCUGGAAUUCUCAAGGCUGAAGCCUUCAUCCUCGGCUGCUCUUGAAUUGCCAUUUUCUGCAGAAGAGAUUAAAACAGCUGUGUGGGAUUGUGAUGGAAAUAAAGCUCCAGGUCCUGAUGGUAUUAACUUCCUUUUCAUCAAGAAAGCGUGGAACAUUAUAGGUGAGGAUAUUAUCCAGAUGGUUGAUGACUUCUAUCGGACUAAUCUCCUUCCUGCUGGUAUCAAUAGCACCUUUGUUACUCUUAUUCCGAAGAUUAAAGGUGCAAACAAGCUAUCAGAUUUCAGACCUAUUAGUUUGGUUGGCAGCCUAUACAAGAUCAUCUCAAAGAUUCUAGCAACCAGGUUGAAACAUGUUAUGCCAGAGGUCAUCUCUCAUCAUCAAAAUGCUUUCCUCAAAGGGAGGCAAAUUUUAGACAGCGUCUUGAUUGCAAAUGAGGUCCUUUUUUUCAUUAAGAAGAAAAAGGGUAAAGCUUAUCUCUUCAAAUUAGAUUUUCAUAAAGCCUUUGAUUCGGUGUUAUGGGAAUAUAUUAAUGAAAUCAUGGCUAGUAUGGGCUUUGGCAAUAGAUGGCGAGGGUGGAUUAUGCAAUGCAUAUCAACGGCAAAAAUGUCUGUGCUUGUUAAUGGGUCUCCCACGGAGGAAUUCUGCUUAGCUAAAGGCCUACGCCAAGGAGACCCUCUCUCUCCGUUUCUCUUCAACAUUGCAGUCCAGGGAUUGAGUUAUAUGUUGCAGCGUGGCUGUGAUUUGGGUUUGACUUCAGGUAUCAACAUCGGCAAUGCAGGGCUUGUCAUAUCUCACUUACAGUUUGCGGACGACACCCUUAUAUUCAGUUCAGACUCUUUACAUAGCAUGCAGAACAUUAAAUGUAUCCUAUUAUGCUUUGAACUUGUCUCGGGGUUGAAGGUCAAUUUUUAUAAAAGUAGCAUUGUCGGUGUGGGUGUAGCAGCUCAUACAUGUAACUUCACGGCUCAGCUUCUCAGAUGCAAGCAGGAUCAGCUGCCUCUCAUGUAUCUUGGACUCCCCAUCGGUGGAAACCUGGUCAGAGCUACAAUGUGGAAUCCUAUUUUACGCAAUAUCAGUUUCCGGUUGGCUUCGUGGAAAUGCAGGUUCUUAUCUAUUGGGGGCCGUUUGUGCUUGAUUAAAUCUGUGCUCCGCAACCUCCCCAUCUACUACCUAUCUAUGUUCCCUAUGCCUGCUUCGGUUGCCUCCAUAAUUGAUCACAAACUUCGAUCCUUCCUCUGGUCUGGAAAUGAGGAAAGACACAAAAUUUGCAAUGUCAGCUGGGCCACUGUUACUCUUCCAAAACAAGCGGGUGGUCUUGGGAUUGGUCCCUUAAGGGACAAAAACACAGCUCUGCUCUUUAAAUGGUUAUGGAGGUUUGGGUCGGAGGAAUCAAGUUUGUGGACGGAUGUGAUCAAAAGCAUCCACAUCUCCAAUUGCUCUAAUCUGCUGCUGCAAGCUCCUAUUCCAUGAGCUGCAACUACAUGGUCCCGGAUUGUCAAUCAUUGUGUGAGAAAUAAUAAGCUGCAGGAUAUUGUGAAAGAGCAAUCUCUGGUUCUUAUCGGAAAUGGCAAGAAGACUAAAUUUUGGCUUGACUGCUGGCUUAAUAACCACUGUUUAGCAGAGCACUUCCCUACUCUUUUCCAAUUAUCCAAUGACAAAGCUGCCAGCAUUGCUAAAAUGGGAAUGUGGGAAGGGUAUGAGUGGAUUUGGGUUUUUUCCUGGAUACGUCCGCUACGGGGGUGCAGCAUUGGCUUGCUCGAUCAGCUUUAUGCAAUCCUAUCGACUGUACUCAUGGACAAAGAUGAAGAGGAUAGACUAAUAUGGAAGGACAAUAAUUCAGGAAGAUUUUCAGUUAAAUCUCUCUGUGGAUUGUUAAGCCCAAAGCCUUCCACAAACAAUGCCUUCUCGUUUGCUGGAAUUUGGAAAGGUAUUGUCCCUCCUAAGGUAGAGAUCUUUUGCUGGAUGGCUAUCAUUAACAGAAUCAACACCUGAUGCAUGUUGGUUCGAAGAGGUAUAUUGAGUAGCUCAGAAUCAAAUUGCCCUAUCUGCCUAGUGGAGGCAGAAUCGGUGGACCAUAUCCUGCUUCAAUGCCAUAAGCAUUGGCUCAUUUGGUCCAAAAUCAUUAAGUGGUGGGGUUUAGUUUGGUGUUGCCCAAAGAGCUUCUCAGAUUUGUGGUCUCAAUGGACUUCCAUGGUGCAUGGUCAUUUUCAGAGGAAAGCGUGGCUGAUGUUGUUCUUCUCAGUGGCAUGGUCUCUUUGGCUACUUCGAAAUGAUCUGAUCUUCCAACAGAAGACACCUGACUAUGAUUCAAUAUUCUUUCUUAUUAUCACCCGUCUAUGUCUAUGGCUAAAAGCUAUCCAUUCUGAUUUCCCAUACUCCCCUUCAGAUCUGAUUAGAUCGGCAGAUGGCUUACUUCGGUGGUCCAAUGCCCACUCCUUCAGGAUUCAUAAUAUGUGGUCUCCUCCUAUGAUUAAUAGCCUCAAAUGGAACGUGGAUGGCUCGUCUCUUGGUAAGCCAGUCCCUUCUGGAAUAGGUGGUGUACUGCGAAAUCAUCAUGGACAUCUUCUCGGUAUGUUCUCUGUUCCAGUUGGUAUUUUAGACUCUAAUAUUGCUGAGUUAAGGGCUAUUGUCAAAGCCAUUGAACUUUCAGCAUCUAAUUGUCUCUUCCACCAUCAACACCUUAUCAUAGAAUCUGACUCAGUCAAUGCUUUUUUCGUUUACCAAACAAGUUUUUCAGAGGUGAUAUCGUAUCUUGAUUUCAACAAUGAGUUACUACAACAACCAGUAUCAAGCUUCAGCAGGUAAUUGAAUUUAUGUUCGGCUUGUGAAAAUCUUUUCUUUUCUUUUCUUUUUUUCUUUUUUUAAUGUGAUUUAGGAAGUUAAUCAAAAUGGGUUACUAAAUUGAUGAUUUUUCAGGAGUAUAUCCUCCACCACCUCCAGCAUCUGGUUCAUAUUAUCCACCAAAGCAGGAGGUGUAUCCUCCUCCUCCUCCACCACAGUUUUAUCCACCACCACUAGUGCAAGGGUACUAUGAAUUGCCGGUCCUUAUGUUGCACCACCUCCAGUUAGUUACCCUAUGAGAUAUGGUCCUCAACACCACCAACAGCCACCUCCUCCUCCAGAAAAAACUAAGCAGAGGGGUGAUGAAUUUUGCACAGGAUGGUAACUGAGCAUUUUUUUUUCCUUUUCAUUUAAAUAAUGAUUCACUUUGUACCUAUUUAUUUAUUUAUCUUUUUCCUAUGGGACACGGUUGCGCUGCCUUAUGGUGCUGCUGCCUCUUGGACAUGUGCUUUUAAGGACGAUGAAUGAUUCUUUGUAAAAUUUGCAGCUUAUAAUUGCUUCCCUUGUGUUUCUUGUUGCAAAUCAUAAUUAUUUUUGCUCUUUUUAUGUCACUGUGCUAUGUAACCUUCCUCUUUGAUUAAUAGGCAGGUAAUAUUCGGGUAUGGAG